rnacentral:lncRNA from 1 species
CACGUUGCAGCAAGGUAUGGACAUUCUGCUAUUGUGAAACUUCUAAUCAAGUCUUGCGCAAAAGCUAGAGAUGGAGAUUCUAAAGUCUAAAUCGAAAGAUAGUCUUAAAUAAACGAAUAAAAAUAUAACCACAUCUUUAAUUAAAUGACAAUUAGAAUAAAUAAAUGUAGUCAAAAUAAUAUAAUGAGUUUGAUUCGUUGUGACAAAUUUCUAUUAAUUUCCCAUUUUAACAUUUUAUUUUUGAUUUCAAUAGAGUAAAAAUAAUUAGGUGUUUUAAUGACCCAUUAGGUCAAUCAAGAUUUCGGGCCAAGAAAUUUGAAGAAUGAUCCCAAUGUAGUGAUAUCCAUUAGUGGUAUCGUAACACUGAUUUAGUAGUGGUAGCACUUAUAGCCACCGUCACAUUUGCAGUAGCAAUAACCGUACAUAUGUAUAGCUCGUCAACUAGGCAAAGCUCACAGUUACUUUUUAGUUCUUCCCAAACACUUUACUCUUCCCCUUUUGAACUUGUAGUGUCUGACGUGGGACCAGCUCAUGUGCAAUCGAAUGGUUUCUCUUAUUGUGUUUCGUUUGUAUAUAUACAUAGUAGGUACACUUGGCUGUAUGUAACGCCCCAAAAAUCUCGAAAUCCAAAAAUUUUAAAAUCGUGAAUUUUUCUUUUUGUGCUUAGCAAUCCCGGUUAAGUGUUAAUUACGCGUUGAUAGGUCUUGGUCAAGGUUUGAGUUCGAAUCUAGGGUAGAAGAAAUUAAAGUUUAAUAAUUAAAAGGGCCUUGUUGGCAAGUAGUUGGGCUUUUAAAUAAAGGUAGGGGAAAAUGGCAUCAAAAAGUCUUGUGGUGAAAUGGCUAAGUGGCGCCAGUUAGAGUAAAGGGAGGUAACGUUAGUGGCUAGUAAGGAGAUCCAAGGUUUGAAUCCUAGCUUAGUAUUUUUGGGAGUUUAAUUUUGUGAAACUUCUAAUCAAGUCUUGCGCAAAAGCUAGAGAUAGAAAUUCUAAAUUCUAAAGUUUAAAUCGAAAGAUAGUCUUAAAUAAACGAAUAAAAAUAUAACCAUCUUUUAAAUGGCAAUUAGAAUAAAUAAAUGUAGUCAAAAUAAUAUAAUGAGUUUGAUUCGUUGUGACAAAUUUCUAUUAAUUUCCCAUUUUAACAUUUUAUGUUUGAUUUCAAUAGAGUAAAAAUAAUUAGGUGUUUUAAUGACCCAUUAGGUCAAUCAAGACUUCGGGCCAAGAAAUUUGAAGAAUGACCCCGAUGUAGCGACAUCCAUUAGUGGUAUCGUAACACUGAUUUAGUAGUGGUAGCACUUAUAGCCACCGUCGCAUUUGCAGUAGCAAUAACCGUAACUGGUGGUUUGAAUACUGAAAAACUGUCAGAGCACGGCACUCUUUUUCUGAUUGAUGAGGCAGCCUUUAAAGCAUUUGUUGUAACAAAUGCAUUGGCCUUUAUUCUUUCUAUUUUGGCUCUCUCCAUCCACUUUGGGAUUCUGGAUCCUCUUUUAUCAAAAUUAAUUUUUUUGGGAUAUUAAUAUAAUCUUAUAUUGAAAUUAGUCUGUUGCUAAUCUCCUUGGCCGUGCAAUGUUUGCAAUGGUGAUUGCUUUUAGCACAAACAGUUAUGUUUUAAACCAUCACAUGAACUUGCCAUUACUUCAUGUUUCAUCUACCCUGGCUUUUUUGUUUGUUAUUAUGUACAACAAUCCCUAACUUUCGUUAAGAGGUUGUUGUAGUGAUGAUAACUAAUUUCAUAAAUAAUAUAAUGAGUUUCAUCUGCUAUAAUUCGUUGUGACAAAUUAAGUUCUUUUCUGUAAUUAAUAAGUUUAUUUUUAAGUAAUUUGAUUACAUUUCUAUUAAUUUCCCAUUUUAGUGUUUUAUGUUCGAUUUCAAUAAAAUAAGCAUUUUUACAUGAUUAGGUUUUUUAAUGACCCGUUAGACAAAUUAGAGCCUAAGAAACGACUAAUGGAUUAAUUGAGUGUGUAGGACACUAUUUCAGGCCGAGAAAUUUGAAGAACGAUCCCAAUGUCACAAUAUCCAUAUUAGUAGUGUUGUGACAACCAACUUCGAAGGUCAGAAUGGGGAUGCAAAGACUAUAGUGUCGCGAAAAUGAACUUUGAACGCAAGCUAGGAGAGUAAACUCGACGAUGUCGUGACACCCAACUUCGAGGCCAAAGAAGUCUCAUUCGAUGUCUGAUGUCUUGACAUCAGUCCUAUGGUGUCAUGACACUGAUUCAACGAGGGCAAAAUUACAACCGAAGGUGUUUUCAUAUGCACAACUCAUCCUAACCCGUUUAAUCACUUGCAUUUGGUCUAAUAUGAUCAUAAAAUACCACAACUAUAAAUAGAAAAGUUUAAGGUUUAAUUAGGGUUUUAUUCCCUUAGUUAAAUUUUAGUUUUCUAGUUUUAGGUUUCGUUGGAUUGGGAAUUUGCUGUAAACUUCUAUUUUAGAUUCAAUUUUAAUUCAAGUUUCAAUUUCUUCAUCAAUCUUUAGUUUUUCUUUUGCAUUGGCUUUCAAUCGAUGUUUCCUCAACGACUAUUGAUGGGUUUUCGCCUUCCAAGCGCAAUCGACAUAUUAACGCAUCAAAAUUAUAUUUUUCCCUCUUUCUAGUUUGCUAUUUGUUUUAAUGUCCGGAUUGAAUUUAGGGAAAAUUGUAUUUAAACUCAUGACGACCUAAACUUGUAGGAAAAUUAACGACUAGAUGUGGAAUUAAUUAACUGAGGAAUUAAGGUUUUUCUUAGAAUUAGAUGGAUUAAAUUAUGUAUAAUAAAAUUUUAUGAUUGACAACCCUAUAAAGUUAUUUAGGUAAAUGAGGUCGAAAAAAUAGUUUAUCGAGUAUCUCUUAAUUUAACUUGAUUUAAACUGUGAGGUUGAAAGAUAAGUAGUUUCUGUCAAUUAGUUGAUUUAGUUACAGUCUGAAAGGUAAUAACUAAGUUAAUUAUUUGCUAAUUCAUCAAAACCCGAAUUGUGAGGUUAAUUAUGAACACUAAUGUGAGUUAACCUUUUGUCUUUUAUUGAGUGAAUUUCAAUUGUUAGUUUAGUUUUCAUUAAUUUACGAUAGUGUUAUUAAAUUUUAUUUAGAUUUUUCGUAUUAUAAUUUUAGAUUAUUACUAUUCAGACCUGUUAAAGUAGAAAUUAGUCUCUAGUUUUUUAAUCCAGCCUCCUUUGGUACUAUCCUCGGAAUACUUCCAUGUUCCGCUGUAACUUUUAUAUUACAAUCUGACCUGUAUAUUUACGAACAUAAAUAUUAUUUCAUAUCUUUUAUUUGCAAUAUUUCCAACCCCUAUAUUUGCAUGUCGAGGCGAGCAAUCAAAAUUCCACCAACUCGUCCUUAGAAGUAAUAAAUAUAUUACAUAAAUUUUUUUACUUACAUGGUAAGUGGGUCAUAAAUUUUUUUUGAUUUUUUUUCAAAAUAUUUAUUGAAGCAAAUUUACUGAUUAAUCUUUCGUAUUCUGUAAGCCCAUUAAGAGGUAAACGCUUAAGUAUAUAGAAAAUAUAUAAAGCAUACUAAGUAUGUUAGAGCAUUAUUUAGUUUUUUUUUUGUAAACAUUUACAUAAAUUUUUCACUUACAUUAUAAAUGUGUCAUAAUUUAAUCAUAUAUAAAUUUAAAAAUGAUAGUUUUUUUUUGGUACAUCAAAAAGGAUAAUACCAUAACUAGACUAGGCGAGGCCAAGUCAUUCUAGAGCAUUAUCAUGUAGCUUUUGAAGAAUUUCAUCAGGGGGUUGCAUGCCCAAAGGCCUUAAAAAUGUCAUUACUUCCAAUCCAUCGGCUACUCAAUUAUCCUUUUUGGAUACAUGAUGUGUCACCCUAAUCAUCCAAGUCCGUUGAAUAAUUUCUUUAAUACUAACAAUUUAGUAAUUUUAUGAUCUUUAACAACCUUGUUUCCCCGCAUUAUAUAAUUUUAAUUAAUAUUUUAUAAUUAAAAUAAAAAAAUUAUGUAUUCAAAUUAAUCCAAAUUUACCUAACCUUUGAAUUAGAUUGAUAAACUACAUUUAGAUAAAUCUAUUUAUAACAACUUAAUUUUUUAUUUAAAUAUAUAUAUAAUUCAAUAACAACCCAAUUUUUAUUUAAAUUUAAAUAUAAUUGAAUCUUAUAAUAUUUGUAAUUAAUAUAGAGUAGUAAACUAUUCUUAGUCAUGAAUUAAUUUCUUCCACCUAUACUUGCCUGCAAAACCAAAGACAAUGAGAUAAACAAAAAAAAAAAAAGAAAAAAAAAAGAAAAGAAAAGUCAAGAAUGAAGAAAUCCUAGCCUUGAUUUAUGGUUUCAUUAAUUCCACUUUUGGCCCAGAACAUGAAAAUAAAGACAAAAAGUUGUUCAAUUCUUGAUUGAGUCUUAGCUCAGUUGUUCUUGACAUUGUUGCCGGUAUAAGAAGACAUGGUUUCGAGUGCGCUGAAGUGUAUUAUCCUCUUAUUUAAGGUUGGAGAGAGAGAAAAAAAUAAGUUGUUCAAUUGAAGUAAGGGAUCAUUAGUUAUAAUGGGAAAGAAAUUUGUGAAAAUAUUGUUUUGAGUGGUUUAGGUCCUUGUGCUCUUUAAAAAUUUGAAAUUUAGUUCUUAUAUUUUUAUUUCAAGGAAUUUAGUCAUCUUAUUUUUCAGAUUUCAAAAAUCAAGUCUAAUUGAGUGUGUAGGACACCAUUUCAGGCCAAGAAAUUUGAAGAAUGACCCCAAUGUCACGACAUCCAUUAGUAGUGGCAUGACAACCAACUUCGAAGGUCAGAAUGGGGAUGCAAAGACGACAGUGUAGCAAAAAUGAACUUCGAAUGCAAGCUAGGAGAGUAAAAUCGAUGAUGUCGUGACACCCAACUUCGAGGCCAAAGAAGUCUCAUUUGAUGUCUGAUGUCUGAUGUCUUGACAUCAAUCCUAUGGUGUCGCGACACUGAUUCAACGAAGGCAAAAUUACAACCGAAGGUGUUUUCAUAUGCACAGCUCAUCUUAAUCCAUUUAAUCACUUGCAUUUGAUCUAAUAUGAUCAUAAAAUACUAGAACUAUAAACAGAAAAGUUUAAGGUUUAAUUGGGGUUUUAUUCCCUUAAUUUUUAAUUUUUUACUUUUAGGUUUUGUUGGAUUGGGAAUUUGUUGUUAACUUCUUCAUCAAUAUUUAGUUUUUCUUUUGCAUUGGCUUUCAAUCGAUGUUUCCUCAACGACUAUUAACAGGUUUUCGUCUUCCAAGACAAUCAACAUAUCAAGGAAUCAAAGUUAUCUUUUCCCCUUUUUUUAGUUUGCUAUUUGUUUUAAUGCCUAAAUUGAAUUUAGGGAAAAUUGUAUUUAGACUCAUGAGGAGCUAAACAUGUAGGAAGAUUAACGAUGGGAGGUGGAAUUAAUUAAAUGAGAAAUUAGAGUUUUCUUUAGAAUUAGUUGAAUUAAAUUAUGUGUAAUUAAACCCUAAUAUUGACAAUCCUAGUAAGUUAUUUAGGUAAAUGAGGUCGAAAGAAUACUUUAUCGAGAAUCUCUUAAUUUAACUUGAUUUAAACGCGAGGUCGAAAAAUAAAUAGUUUCUGUCGAUUAGUUGAUCUAGUUACAUGUAACACCCUAAACCCGGCCUAGACGUUAUAGCUGAAUUUGGCGAUGUCAUAGGAUAGUGUGUUCGAAAACUAAAUUAUUACAAUAAAAUCAUUUCCAUGUUAUUACCUAUCUUUAUCUCUUAUUAGUUCUAAAGGAAAUUGUUUUACUUAUUUAAAACAUUUGCUUUAAAACGUUUCUCAUUGCGGAAGCUUUUAAAACAAAGCAGUUUAAGUAAUCGUGAGUUUAGAAAAUACGUUAGCUUUUGAAAACCAAACUUCCUACGACUAGCAGUUAUAAUUCCACAAAAAAAUAAAAACCAAAUUUAAGAAAAAGUCCCAAGAGUCCUCAAAUUACAUCCCAAUAACAAUAAAAUCAUAAAACAAAAACUAAAAAAAACGUAAAGUCUAGAAACUGUGGUAACCGUCGAGUCCUCCGCCGUACCAAUCUGUCUAGGUCUGGGGAUUACCUGGGCACAUUAAACAGAGAGGGGUGAGUUUACGUAAACUCAGUGUGUAAUCCCAUAGAAAAUAAACAAUAGUAGACAUAGUGCAUAGUCAAAUACAGUUUUGGGCCUAAGCACCUUUCAGUAUCAGUAAUAGUUUGGGCCUUAGCCCAUCUCAAUACAGUAUCAAAUAUGCAGUAGGGCCUUAGCCCAUCACAGUAUCAGUAUGCAUUAGGGUCUUAGCCCAUCACAGUAUCAGUAGUAGUCAUGCAAUAUUCAGUAACAAAGUCCUACCCAAUCAGCCUCUACACACCAUCUCCAUCCAACCCUACACUCCAUGUGGGGAUAUAAUCAACCUACCCAUCCCUUUGCAGCUGAGCUACCAGUAUAUUAGGCUUAAGAGCCUUUUAGUACACUUCCUCCAAAUAUAAUCAACCCAACCCCAUGCAAUGCAACAUACAAAUCAUGACAUGAUAUCUCAUGAUAUCAGUACAUAUAACCAGUUCAGUAUACAUGCAUACCAUCAUCAUGCUCAAUAUAUAUAAAUCAAAUAGUUAGUUCACACAAUUAGGGGUCUAAGUGAUGCUUACCGACCCUACAGUAGGUUCACAGUUGACUUGGACGACCCGUGCAACCUUAGCAAUCAAUUAAGUGAAAAUGGGCUCACACGCCCAUGUGGCCUACCCAUGUGGGCCUACAUGCCCGUGUGGCCCGUAGAUCCAAUUUGGCCUUGGCUAUCACAGUCGUGUCUUACAUGUACGACCUGGUCUCGUCGAUCGCACAGCCAUGUUUUCUACGUUUCGGGUACACACCUGUAUCGUUUUAGACGUAAAAGCAACUCCAAGCAAUUCCCAACCUAAAAUUGAUCAAUAUUUCACUCCAUUAAUACUUAAACAAUCGAAUUGAACUAAACCCAAAACGGGGUAUUCAUCUAUCGAAUGAAAAACCAUUACCUUAGAUCGAACAACAAAGUCUCUUCACCACCACGACACCGAUCGAAUAACUUCAGCCCUUUAACCUUUUCCAAACACAAAAAAAAUCCCAUUAACCACUAUCCAUAACCUAAAACGAAAAAUGGUACUCACCACACUUACCGAUAAUGCACGAAAAAGUGGCGAAGAACGAGACUUGAAACAACGAUAGUAGGGAAAAUAAAACAAAAAUGAAAACAACAGUAAGAAUGGGGAAAGAAUUCGACAAAGAACAGAGAAGAAGAGAAAGAAAGAAGAAGAAAAAAAUGGAAAAAGAAGAAGUGGAGGAGAAGAUGAUCAGUUUUUUUUCUACAGAGAGAAUUUUUGAGAAACUGUUUUACUUAAAUCCCACUACCUACCCUAUCUCAAUCCCUUAAUUUUCUCUCUCAACUCCCACUACACAUCCACUACUCAGAAUCCCAGUUUAACACAACUCUGGCCGAACUUUAAGCAAAAUUACUACUCCUUGCCAUCGCAGAGAAUCAAACACAAGUCCUCCAACACUCCAACACUCCACUUAACCACUAGAGUAGCUAGCCUAUUCUAAUAUGGUUUUGCAAACAAUUAAAUAAAAGCUUACUGAACAAGAGUAAGACUUAACUUAGAAAAAUUUCAAAAUUUGCCAAAGGCAUGGCUUGAACUUAGGACCUCCCACAUACCCCCAAAACACUUAGCCAAUAAAGCAGACAUAUAUUUGUAUUACACAUUCACAAAAACGAAUAUAGAAAUUUUGGGGCGUUACAUUACAGGUCGAAAAGUAAUAACUAGGUUAAUUAUUAACUAAUCCAUCAAAACCCGAAUUCUGAAGUUAAUUAUGAACACUGACGUGAGUUAAUUUUUUGUCUUUAACUAAGUGAAUUUCAAUUGUUAAAUUAGUUUUCUUUAAUUUAUGAUAGUGUUAUUACUUAAUUUUAUUUAGAUUUUUCAUACUAUAAUUUUAGAUUAUUACUGUUUAGACCUGUUAGCGUAGAAAUUAAUCUCUACUUUAGUCUAACCUCUUUUGAUAUGAUCCUUCAAAUACUUCUGUGUUCCAUUGUAACUUUUAUGUUUUAACUUGACUUAUAUAUUUAGAUAUAUUUUAUUUGCAGUAUUUCCAGCCCUAACAUUUACACGUUGAGGCGAGCAAUCAAAAUUCCAACAACUCGUUUUUUGGAAGUAUUAAAUAUAUUGAGGUCCAACAACUCGUCCUUGAAAGUAAUAAAUAUUAAUAUUUUAAAUAAAUGUAGCCAAACUAAGAUCCAACAACUCGUCCUUGAAGUAAUAAGUAUUAAUAUUUUGAUAUUUUUGUCUUUUUCAUAAAAAAAUUAUAAAAUAUAUAAGCAAUUUGAAUUUAAGUCACCAUGACUUCAACAAUAUUAAAUUUGUCGUUUCUUAAUAUUAUUUAUGUUUUAUAAAUAUUUACAUAAUUUUUUUUUACUUAUAUGGAAAGUGGGUCAUAAUUUUUUUUUUUGGUUUUCCAAAAUAUUCAUUGAAGCAAGCCUAGUGAUUAAUCUUUCGCAUUCUGUAAAACUAUUAAGAGCUAAACGCUUAAAUAUAUAUAUAUAUAUAUAUAAUAUAAAGCAUACUAAUCAGUAUGUCUUAAUUUUAUCAUUUCAAUCAUAGCAUUAUUUAAUUUUUUUUCAUAAACAUUUACAUAAUGUAACGCCCUAAUUUUCGGGAAUUCUUUGAAUGUUGGCAUAGGUUUAAUUAUGUUAGUGGGCCUCUAGAAGGCCCAAGCUUAAGAUAGAACCCGACAAUUUUAGUUAACUUUUGUUCCAUAAGAAAAAGGGAGUGAAAUUAUGAAAUAGGACCUAUGUGAAAAUGUUUGAAAAUGCUAUAGGCUAAAUUGAAGUGGCCAAAUAAAUAGGAGUGCAAAAUAGGAGGAUUUGCAAGACAAACCUCCCAUUUUACAUGAAGUGGCCAGCCAUCAUGUUGUUGUUGACAAAAUGUGCACUUUGAUAUCCAUAAUUUAUGGUACAAAUUGAUACAAAUUGAUAAUAGGUUAGGUAAAUGUUCCAUGAUAAUGGAUUAGGUAAAUGUUUCAUGAUAAUGUGUUAGGUAAAUGUUUCAUGAUAAUGGUUUAGGUAAAUGUUUCAUGAUAAGAAUUUCAUGUCUUUUGUAUUAAAGAAUUAAAUGGAUGAAAUAUGAAGUUUUAUUAAAAGAAAAAGGGGUGAAAAGAAUAAAGUUUUGUCCAUCUUUGUUCAUCAUAGCUGAAAGUUAGAGAAGAGAAAGGAGAGGAGAAAGCUCUUGAGUAUUCGGUCAUUAGGAGGAGGAAAAUUGAAGGUAAGUUCUUGGUACCUUGCUUCUAUUUUGAGGUUCAUGAGUUCUUCUAGAUUCUACCUUAACUCUUGAAGUAUAUUUUGAUUUUUAGUUGUGUUGUGAGCAUUUAGUCAUGAAUUAAAAUGAAGGAAAUGGUUGUUGUUUCAUGUUCUUUUGAUGAAAAAUGGAAGAUAGGUGAAGUUGAGCCAAACAAAUGAGCAUGCAUGUGCCUUAGAUGUUAAAGGGAAAAAAAUCAGCUAACAUUUUGUGCUUUAAAAUGAUGAAAUGGAGAUUAUUCUUAAGUAAAAUCAUAGUUAUGUGAUGAUUGAUUGGUGAUAUACAUGUUUAAAUAACAUGCAUGCAAGGUAUGUGUGAAAGAGUGAUUUGGUAAUAAAUCUGCUUGGGACAGCAGCAGUAAUGUGACUUUGGAAAAUCACCAUAAAUUGUGGGAGAUAAAUUAGAAGCUGAAUAAAUUAUUUAAUUAAAUCUUAUUGAGUCUAGUUUCUAAUGAAAUAAACAAGAACAUAUUUUGAAUUCUGUACAAUGAGAAAUUUGAUUCGUAAUGAAGAGUGGUCAGAUUAGUCAAACAGUGAAACAUGAGAAACUUUGAGAAAAAUCUGGUAUUGAUUGGCUAAACCAAAAAUUCUGAAAAUUUUAUGGACAGAAGAUAUAUGAGUCUAUUUUCAGGUAAAAUUAACGGAACUUGAUUUGGAGUUUCGUAGCUCCAGUUAUAAAUAAUUUAGUGACUGUUUCUCAGGAAGACAGCUUGCAGCGAAAUUAUGAUUAUGUGGUAAACAUUGACAAAAAUUUGUUAAUGAGUUGCUUAUUGAUUUCUUAUAAGCUUACUAUGAUCUGUAGGUGUGGUUGGCCGAAUAUUGUAAGGGGUUAAUCGUAGUUUGUAUUUGAAUAGUUAGAUUAACGUGUUAGUAAUCCAAUUGUAGGCGGUUCGUGUGUCGAUCACAUCAGCAUAUCGUCGCAAACAGGUGUGUAACUAACACCCUCUUUCUUAGUUUGGAUCGGCAAAAGUCGAAAAGCCGAAAUGCCGAAAACCGAUAUUUUGUAGAUUUGUGAGUGUGCGAAUGCUCGUGAGGUAAAUCGAUUAAUGUUUUUGGUAAGCUGCAAUGUUUGGAUUGCAAAGUGCAUGAUUUCUGUGCCCUCGAUAUUUUUGGGCUUAAUGGGCCAAAAUUGGAAUGAUGGGCCAACGGGCCCAAUUCGGUAAGAACCCUCGGUACGUGAUUCUGUAGUACGUGAAAGGUAGGAAUAUGUAUGAAAAACCCUAAAAUAGAUAAAUUACUGAAAUACCUUUAAAAAUGAAAAAUUUACAGUUUUACCCCUAGGAGAUAAAUUACCGAAAUACCCCUAGGGUUAAAUUGACCUAAAUGCAUGUUUAACUGUUGUUAUUUACUGCAUGCCAUGUUGUUAUUAUCUGAUGCAUGGGAUUGGGAUAUUGACGGAGGAAUUACUGAAAGUGGCUUGUCCACGUACUGGAGGCUUUGCCUCAAUUUACUGUUAACUGAGCAGCAAGGCUGCAACUGUGGAGUGUUGGGCUGGGUGGGUUGAGCUAUUCCCCACAUGGAGUGUAUGGCUGGUACGGGUGGAUUGUAGUGGUUGGUGGGUUGAGUAGUCUCCCCAAAUGGGCUUGCAUAUGUUAUUGAUGUUGCAUGUAUUUUGAAAUGGGCCUAUGGGCCAUACUGUUAUCUGAAUAAGGGGAUAAGGCCCAGUUUAUUGUAAUCUGAAAAGGGCUCUGGCCCAGUACCACUGUUACCUGAAUGGGCUUAGGCCCAAUAGGCUUGAGCUGACUUGGGCUUUGAAUGGGUUUUCCUUACACACUGAGUUUCCCCAAACUCACCCCUUUUAUUUUCAUCCACGCAGGAAAUCCCCAACCAUAGUGGGCUUGGAGCUGUGAGGGAAUUCGGAGUGGCCACCCGUUCUGAAAGUUUGAUUUUCUUCUGGUGAACUGGACAUCCUUUUAAUUACGUUUGAGGUUUUGGGCUUUUAAAUGUAAUAAGGCCGCUUAUUUAUUUUUGAUGGUUUUUAAUAUGUAUUACUAAGAUAAGUAAUACUUAUUUUAACUGUUGAAAUUGGAUAGCUUUAGGGCGCGUUUUCAAAAACAACAGUUGAUUUCAAAAUAACACGACAACAAGCAAAGCUUCCGCAAUGAAAGUAUUUUCCAAAAUUAAUCACUUUUCCUAAAAAUGACUUAAUCGAAUCGGUUUCCUAGAAAUAUCCAUGAUGUUAAGGUGUGGCAAUGGCGGUAUGCAUGUCUAGGAUUGGAUCCGAAGGGAGCUUGGUACUUAAGCAGUCCGAUGGACUCACCACCUCUUUUCCGGUUUGCUACCUGGUGCACAGCUUCCAUUCACCUUAACCCUUAAUGAAUUAAUCUUUUGAACAUCAAGUACGAUUUUCUGGACUUAGAAUGGAAAAUUUUUUAAUGUUUUUGAUGUGGCAUGCCGGAUCCGGCCAUAACUUCUGGGCCGGGUUUGGGGUGCUACAAAUAAAAUUUUCACUUACAUUAUAAAUGUGUCAUAAUUUAAUCAUAUAUAAAUUUAAAAAUGAUAAUUCUUUUUUGGUACAUGAAGAAGGAUAAGACCAUAACUAGAUUAGGCGAGGUCAAGUCAUUCUAGAGCAAUUAUCAUGUAGUUUUUGAAGAUUUUCAUCCGGGGGUUGCAUAUAGCUAUACAUGCUCAGAGACCUUGAAAAUAUCAUUACUGCCAAUCCAUCGGCUACUCAAUUAUCCUUUUUGGAUACAUAAUGUGUCACCCUAGUCAUCCAAGUCCGUUGAGUAAUUUCUUUCAUUCUAACAAUUUAGUAGUUUAUAAUUAAAUUAAAAAUUUAUGUAUUCAAAUUAAUCCAAAUUCACCUAACCUUUGAAUUAGAUUGAUAAACUACAUUUAGAUAAAUCUAUUUAUAACAACUUAAUUUUUAUUUAAAUUUAUAUAUAAUUCAAUAACAACUUAAUUUUGUAUUUAAAUUUAAAUAUAAAUCAAUCUUAUAAUAUUUGUAAUUAAUAUAGAGUAGUAAACUAUACUAAGUCAUGAAUUAAUUUCUUCCUCCUAUACUUGCCUGCAAAACCAGAGACAAUGAGACAAAAAAAGAAAAAAAAGUCAAGAAUGAAGAAAUCCUAGCCUGGUUUCAUUAAUUCCACUUUUGGCCAAGAAAAUGAAAAUAAAGACAAAAAGUUGUUCAAUUAUUGAUUUAUGGCCAAGAAAAUGAAAAUAAAGACAAAAAACUGUUCAAUUAUUGAGUCUUAGCUCAGUUGCUAUUGAAAUUGUUGCAGGUGUAAGAGGAUGUGGGUUCGAGUGAGCUGAAGCGUAUUAUCCUCUUAUUUAAGGUUGCAGAGAGAAAAAAAAUAAGUUGUUCAAUUGAAGUAAAGGGAUCAUUAGUUAUAAUGGGAAAUAGAUUUGUGAAAAUAUUGUUUUGAGUGGUUUAGGUCCUUGUGCUCUUCAAAAAUUUUGAAAUUUAGUUCUUAUAUUUUUAUUUCAAGGAAUUUAGUCACAUUAUUUUUCAGAUUUCAAAAAUCAAGUCUAAUUGUUAACUCUAUUGUUUUUAAUUUGUUAAAUUUGUUGGUGUAACAUACUGAAAUAAAAAAGAUACUCACUUGGUAGCAAUAUAAUUAAAAAAUUGCCAUUGCAAUGAAGGUGAAUUUAACAAAAUAAUUUGAAUGAUGUUAACAAUUAGAUCUGAAUUUUGAAAUCUCAAAAAUAGAGGGACUAAAUUUCUAGAAAUAAAAGUACAAGGAUUAAAUUCUAAAUUUAUAAAGAGGGUAGGGACUUAUGUCACAUUUUAACCUUGAAAAAUUUGUAGAUUCUCACAUCCCUUCAAAUUUGCUGAAUUUUCAAAUAUUAAAUGUUUGAUGUGAUUUUUCAAAAAAUUUGCAGAAAUUUUGUUGAAGAAUUAAUGGUUUGCAGUUGACAAGUUGACUUAUGCAUCACAGGAAAACUGAUAGUUUGAUUAAUCUAUUUGCUUGUAUAAUAUUUGAAUUGAUCACUCUGCAAGAGACUAAUUACGGGCAAGUAACAAACAGGAAAGGCAUUUGGUAAAUUUCAGAAUUAGUAGCUUCUUUUUUUCUUGAGCUUAGAAUGUUCCAAGCUAAUUAAUUAAUAUUUGUUUUGUGUUAUCUAGGAAGAAAGCUCUGCAAUAGAUCAACAAAAAUGGAACUAUCGAUAAACUUCAUGCUUAUGUCCUCCGGUGAACCUGAGGAACCUGAAGAGAACAUCACUUACAUGGAUGCUUCGUUGUACAAGGCAGCAGCAGAAGGCAACAUUGAAGUAACUUAGAAAUUAGGUUUUCUAGUUAGUGAAUUCCAAAUAGUUAAUAUUAUUAAUUUUUCAGGUUAAAACAUUACAUGAUUUAUGAAGGAAAAAAGAUUUUUUUAUAUUGAUUUUUUUUAAGAAAAAAUAUUUAUAAUUGCUUGUUUGUUUUAUAAUUACAAGUUAAUAUUUUUAUCUAAAUAUUUUUUAUAUAUCAGAAACUAUUUUUAUUAAAAGUAUAAACAAGAUUCAAGAGACCUUUGUUGUGAAGUUCAUCAACUUUUAUUAAAAAUGAUUGAAUGAAAAUAAAAAUUGAAAUUAGUAAAUCGAAGGAUUAUUACGUAGAUUAAUUAUACAAAUAUUAGGUAGACAAUUUUAAUUAAAAUUAUGAAAAAAAAUAACUAAUAAAAAUUUCGAGUCAAAUGUUGAAAGUAACCAUCGUUAAUCGUAUAUAGCAAGAAUAGCAUAGUAAAAUUAGGGUGCUUUCACCAAUUAUGGAAGCAUAUAUCGUUAAUCGAAUUGAAUUUCAAGAAAACCUAGCCUUUAUGGUUUGUUUAAUCCACCCUUUGGGCGAGAAAAUGAAAAUAAAAACAAAUUUUUGUUCAAUUGAAGUAAAUGAAUUAUUAGUAGAGGUGUUCAUGGCCGGGUCAAGACUAAUGAUAAAUGCCAAAAGUAAUAUGUUUUAAUAUCAUUUUUAAUCCGUUUUUAGAUGAUUAUUUGAUGUAAAAUGGUGAAUUUUAUGCUUCUAAUUCUUUAAAUUCAUGCUUCUAUACUUAGGAGAGUAUUUAAGAACAAAAGUAGCGAAAAUCAGAAAAUCGGAGUAACUUUUAGGAGCCACACGGGUUGGUCACACGGUCGUGUGAGCUUGCGACACGGCAAUGUGCCAGACCAUGUCAAAAUCGCAAAUUGCACUUCAAACACGCGGAAAAAAUGUAAAUUUUAGGUUUUUCGGGCAUUUUAAUACCUAUAUGAUAAACCAUAAUAUAUACAUAUUUUUAUCCCAUGCUUGGCACAUUUAUGGAUGAUUUAUCAUUAGAUUUAUGAAACUUGAUGCUUCUAAUCAUUUAAUUUCGUGUUUUAUACUUAGGCGAGCAUAAGGAAGCGAAAGGAGCAAGAAACGGGUAAAAAACAGACAAAAUGGGCCGAAAUCAGUAUUCAACACGACCUAAACCUUCACACACGGGUAGACCACACGCCCGUGUGUGACACACAGAUUAGAGGUGUUCCAGAAAUGUCUGCAAUCGAGUAAAUAGCUCUACGAACUAAUGGAUCGGAUCGAAUUGCAAAGGAAAUUUUAAAUCCGUUCUCUCAAACCAAGAAAAAGAUGUUGAAGAAGAUUAUGAUAAAUCAGAAAAAAAACGUAGAAAGAAAAAGCAAUACAAGAGCAACACGGAAGCAGAGCUUGAUUUCUUCCUAAAAAGGUAUUUGCGUUUUCAAUUGAGAUGGGAUGAUUCUUUAAAUCAAAGAAUAAUCAAUAAUAUCAAAGUAUAUUGCCUCCUGCUUAGACUGAUAAAUCCAAACGAAAUUGUUAUAUCCUCUAUUCAACGGGGAGAGAUGAAUCUGGAUAUUUUGAUGAUUCAGAAGGAUUUAACUCUUAGAGAAUUAAUGAAAAAAGGAAUAUUGAUUAUCGAUCCAGUUCGUCUGUCGGUAAAAAAUGAUGGACAAUUUAUUCUAUAUCAAACUAUAAGUAUUUUGUUGGUUCAUAAAAAUAAACACCAAAUUAAUCAAAGAUACCAAGAAAAAAACAAUAUUGAUAAAAAUCAUUUUUGUGAAUUUAUUUCAAGACAUCAAAAGAUGACUGAAAACGAACACGGCCUGAGCAACCUCACACGGGUGUGUCCUUGACGUGACCUAUUUUAAUUCUACUCGGAAACGGCUAAUUUUGGGAUAAGAGAGGUAUUCCAAAGUCUAUAAAAAAAACCCUAAGGGGAGGAGAAAAAAGGACACGCAGAGUAGAGAGUAAGGAUUACUCGAAGAAAGCCGAUUGAUUUAUCUCAGAAGCCGGAAUCUCCUUCAAGACUGAAGAUUUCCCUUCAAUUUCCUUCAAGGGUUUCUGGGUUUCUUUAUGUUUUGUUAUUUUCCAAUAUUUGAGAUGUUUUCCAUUAUGAAUAUGAACUAAAUCCCCUAAAUAACUGAGGGGGAUGAAAGCUAAGACAGAUCUUGUUAUUAUUUUUCUGAAUUAUAUGAUAAAUAUUUGAUUUGUUCUAAAUUGUGUUAUUAAUUCUUAUUUUAAUAUUUUAGGAUAUUAAUUCAAUUUGAAUGUGCUUAUUCAGUGGAGCAAAAGUCCCUGUUUAAGAGUAGAUUCAACACUAUUAAGCGGAGUUGAUCGCAAUCCUAGACAUAGGACGACGAAAAUCUGCCGAAUUAGAGUCAAAUCUAAUAGGGAAAUCCAUAGAUCAAGUUAAUGCAAUACUAGGGGUUUUAAUUAGAAAGAAAUUUCAAUUAAUCAACCUAGGCAUUAGAAACAAGUCAGGACUAAAUCGGGACUCAAAUAAUUUUUCACAAAAUUUUAAAAUUUUUCUUAGGUUAAGAGGUCACACGCCCGUGUGGUCAGGCCGUGUGGUGCACACGGCCAGGUGACAAGCCCAUGUCUUAGGCUGUGUGGUAUACGAGGUAGGGCACGCGCCCGUGUCCCUAACCCAUAUAACUCUCUGACUUGCAACUUAAUUAAGUGCAAGGGUUAUAUGGCCAAGAAAGGUCAGCGGGGUUGAGAAGUAGGUUAAUUGGGUGGAUUAGGGACUGAUUGAUAUGACCGAUUUAGAGUUGACCUAGUUAGGUGAAAAGUUGAAGUUCAUAACAACCCAAUUUUUAUUUAAAUUUAAAUAUAAUUGAAUCUUAUAAUAUUUGUAAUUAAUAUAGAGUAGUAAACUAUUCUUAGUCAUGAAUUAAUUUCUUCCACCUAUACUUGCCUGCAAAACCAAAGACAAUGAGAUAAACAAAAAAAAAGAAAAAAAAAAGAAAAUAAAAGUCAAGAAUGAAGAAAUCCUAGCCUUGAUUUAUGGUUUCAUUAAUUCCACUUUUGGCCCAGAACAUGAAAAUAAAGACAAAAAGUUGUUCAAUUCUUGAUUGAGUCUUAGCUCAGUUGUUCUUGACAUUGUUGCUGGUAUAAGAAGACAUGGUUUCGAGUGCGCUGAAGUGUAUUAUCCUCUUAUUUAAGGUUGGAGAGAGAGAAAAAAAUAAGUUGUUCAAUUGAAGUAAGGGAUCAUUAGUUAUAAUGGGAAAGAAAUUUGUGAAAAUAUUGUUUUGAGUGGUUUAGGUCUUUGUGCUCUUUAAAAAUUUGAAAUUUAGUUCUUAUAUUUUUAUUUCAAGGAAUUUAGUCAUCUUAUUUUUCAGAUAUCAAAAAUCAAGUCUAAUUGAGUGUGUAGGACACCAUUUCAGGCCAAGAAAUUUGAAGAAUGACCCCAAUGUCACGACAUCCAUUAGUAGUGGCAUGACAACCAACUUCGAAGGUCAGAAUGGGGAUGCAAAGACGAUAGUGUAGCAAAAAUGAACUUCGAAUGCAAGCUAGGAGAGUAAAAUCGAUGAUGUCGUGACACCCAACUUCGAGGCCAAAGAAGUCUCAUUUGAUGUCUGAUGUCUGAUGUCUUGACAUCAAUCCUAUGGUGUCGCGACACUGAUUCAACGAAGGCAAAAUUACAACCGAAGGUGUUUUCAUAUGCACAACUCAUCUUAAUCCAUUUAAUCACUUGCAUUUGAUCUAAUAUGAUCAUAAAAUACUAGAACUAUAAACAGAAAAGUUUAAGGUUUAAUUGGGGUUUUAUUCCCUUAAUUUUUAAUUUUUUACUUUUAGGUUUUGUUGGAUUAGGAAUUUGUUGUUAACUUCUUCAUCAAUAUUUAGUUUUUCUUUUGCAUUGGCUUUCAAUCGAUGUUUUCUCAACGACUAUUAACAGGUUUUCGUCUUCCAAGACAAUCAACAUAUCAAGGAAUCAAAGUUAUCUUUUCCCCUUUUUCUAGUUUGCUAUUUGUUUUAAUGCCUAAAUUGAAUUUAGGGAAAAUUGUAUUUAGACUCAUGAGGAGCUAAACAUGUAGGAAGAUUAACGAUGGGAGGUGGAAUUAAUUAAAUGAGAAAUUAGAGUUUUCUUUAGAAUUAGUUGAAUUAAAUUAUGUGUAAUUAAACCCUACUAUUGACAAUCCUAGUAAGUUAUUUAGGUAAAUGAGGUCGAAAGAAUACUUUAUCGAGAAUCUCUUAAUUUAACUUGAUUUAAACGCGAGGUCGAAAAGUAAAUAGUUUCUGUCGAUUAGUUGAUCUAGUUACAUGUAACACCCCAAACCCGGCCUAGACGUUAUAGCUGAAUUUGGCGAUGUCAUAUGAUAGUGUGUUCGAAAACUAAAUUAUUACAAUAAAAUCAUUUCCAUGUUAUUACCUAUCUUUAUCUCUUAUUAGUUCUAAAGGAAAUUGUUUUACUUAUUUAAAACAUUUGCUUUAAAACGUUUCUCAUUGCGGAAGCUUUUAAAACAAAGCAGUUUAAGUAAUCGUGAGUUUAGAAAAUACGUUAGCUUUUGAAAACCAAACUUCCUAUGACUAGCAGUUAUAAUUCCACAAAAAAUAAAAACCAAAUUUAAGAAAAAGUCCCAAGAGUCCUCAAAUUACAUCCCAAUAACAAUAAAAUCAUAAAACAAAAACUAAAAAAAACGUAAAGUCUAGAAACUGUGGUAACCGUCGAGUCCUCCGCCGUACCAAUCUGUCUAGGUCUGGGGAUUACCUGGGCACAUUAAACAGAGAGGGGUGAGUUUACGUAAACUCAGUGUGUAAUCCCAUAGAAAAUAACACUGUCUUGGUAUAAAAAAUAACGUAUGGCAGUAUUAAUGUAAUGCCCCGAAUUUUGGUCUUAGAAGUUUUGAGUUUUGAGCUGAGUUUUGACCGUAGGGACAGUAGGGAGGUUGCACAUAUGUGUAUAGAUGUGCAUUUUAGUAUUAGAAUGAGUUUGCUGAUCUGAUGAUUGAGUGAGUGUUAAAGAAUCUCAUGGUUGUGGGUUCGAGUCUAGUGUGAACGUUUUGUUGAGAUAUUUUUAGUAGUUCUUAUUUAUGUUAUUUAUUUAUUAUUUGUUUUAAGUUUAUUUUGAUUUCUUUUAUUUUGAUUUUUCUUCUUUCAUGUUUUUCUGCUUCUUUGCUGGUUGGGUUCGAGAAUUUUGCUCCUCUGCCGUUUUCUUCAUCGUCAAAUCAAGUGUGGGAAUCGAAACUUGACUAUACUAUCUUAUUUGCUUUUGUGAACUUUUGUUUGGUAUAUCUUGAGGGUAUGUUAAACCGUUAGGUUUUGGUUGUAAUCGUGGAAAGUUAGGGGAGUGCUUCAUGUUUGGGGUUAUAUUCUGUUAUUGCUAAGGUUGGGGACGACUUUGGGGGCUAAAAGUGUGUUUUUGGGGCUAUUUUUGGGAUGGUUUUGUGACUACCCAGUCGUCCACACUGGCGUGUACUGAAGCACACGGGCAUGUGAUUUUGGGAAUUAGGGUUUUCGGGCCAAUUUUGGUGCCACAUGGCCGUGAGGUCGAUAUGGGGAUUUGUCGAUUUUCACACAGUCGUGUCCCUUGGGCACACGAGUGUGUGAAUUUAGGAAUUAAGGAUUUAGGGAUUUGGAGUCACAUGGCCUGGCCACAUGGCCGUGUAGCCGAUUUGGUAAUUUUGUUGAUUUUCACACGGCCGUGUCCACUGGGCACAUGGGUGUGUGAAUUUUAGAAUUAGGGAUUCGAGGAUUUUGAGUCACACGGCCUGGCCAUACAGUCGUGUGGCUGAUUUGGGGAUUUAGGGAUCCUAUAUGGACGUGUGUUUUGGAACACACGGCCGUGUCUGGUGGGCACAUGAGCGUGUGAGACCUUCACAUGGCCGUGUUUGCCUUUCACUCUUUUUAGCAAUUAGAUAGUGAGUUACACGGCUUGUUCACACGGUUGUGUCCCUACUACACACGGGCGUGUGCUUUUGCCACACGACCGUGUGCUACUCUCCACAUGGGCUUUUGGACCCCCACAUGGCCUAGAUUAUCCCACAUGGCCGGGGCACAUAGACGUGUGGCCCUAUCUCGUCAGAUUUUGGUUUUAGGUUAAAUUUAAGUGUAAUCGUGUGUUGCAACCCUCGGAUAAACUUUAGUGAGGGUAACUACGACUCUGCUCUAGGCUUGAUAUAUGCAUUACUUAUGAUUGGUUGUGUAACAUGUCUGAUACUGAAUCCGAGUAAUUGAGUGUACACUUUUUUUAUUCUGAUUGUUUGGAUGUGAGUGUUUGUCUAUAAAUGAACGUUUGAAACUGGUGUCCUGAUUCUGUACGUCUGUUUGAAUAUACAUACUUGAAUAAAGCAUUUUGGGGUGGGAUUUUAAAGAGAAGAGAGACUGAUACCGAUCUGAUCUGGCAGUUUAACUGCAACUUACAGGUAUAGUAGUCUACCGCAUUGCAUUAUAUCACAAAUACGUCAGUCUCAUUGCGUAUUACUAUUAUCUGAUCUGACAGUACUAACUGCAUGACUGUACAGUGGAUUUUCGCAUUGCACAUUAUAGCACAUACGCCAUAUUUGCUACAUAGUAUAUAUGAUUUGGCAAUUUAACUGCUUAUUGCUAGCCUCAAUUCCCAAAGGGUCGUGGGCAGUCCCAAUUCCCUGAGGGUCGUGGAAUUUUCUGAUAGCCAUCGUUUUUGGGAAACCCGUGAUAACAUUAUUGGUGUGCAGGUUUAGAUGGGCUUUACAAGGUCUUAUGUGGUGUGAUUGGUGAGAUGAGCUCAAACAAUUUUUUUUGAACAAAAGCUCAAACAACUCUUAUGUGGUGUGAUGGGGGAUGAAGAGGUGUGUUGGCUGGAUUAGUGGGUUUUAUAACUCGACUGCAUUGCAUAUGCAUCUGUUCAGUGUUCUGUCUAAGCAACGCUUGUAUUAAAUCACCUGUGUGAACUUAGUAAAUUCUGUUUGUUUUUGUCUAUUUGAAUGGUAUGUGAGUCUGAUUCUUUUAUAUGAUUGAAAAGUACUUAUGGUGUGUGCCUGACUGUGAGCUAAUAUGCUUAAAUUGUCAUUUGUCGGUAAGUUUAUUUCGAUGGUAUCAAUUGUUUCUAAAUAAUUUUGUAAGCACGUUCCGUUUCUAAACUGCUUCUGGCUUUCUAUUUCUGAUUUUGUAGUUAGUUGGUUUUGAACUCACACUGAGCUCGAGUAGUUCACCCCCUACUAUUUCCCUUUCAUGUACAUUUUAGAAUUCUGUUGGUGGACUCGGUAAGCUGAGGUCUCAGACAGUCUUGGUGGAAAUAAAAUUAUCAGCUUGUAUUUUCAAUUUUUAAUUACUAAUCGAAUUUAGAACUGUCAGGUUUUGUAAACACUGUGGUACUAGUUUUGUUUUGACUUUUCACAUAACUCCAAUUUUGUUUGAGAUUUAAAUUUAACUGCAACCUUUCUGUUUCAAGUAUAAGGGAUUGAAUGCUCAUGUUUUGUAAAAUUUUCCCACGAUCACUUCGGUGAUCGAUGUAGCAUCCUGAAUUAGGUCUAAACUUCUAAGCCGGGUUUAGGGUGUUCAAUUAACUUUUCCACGAAGAGCUGUAGACCCUAUUUUCUUCCAUUCUUUUUUUCAGUUUGUUUACUUCUUUGCAAUUUUCUUAAAACAAAAUUUCACCACCAGAACAAUUUUGUAAGGGGCCAGAUGAAAUUUUAAUUUUUUAUAGUCUAAAUCUUUAUAAUUUUUGAAGGAUUAAAUUGAAUUUUUAUAAUUUUAGGGGGGCCAAAGUACAUUUUAAACUUUACUAUUUUAAAAAAUUUCAAGGGCCUAAAUAAUAAUUUUACAUUUUAGGGGGACCCGGGUACCUGCAGCCCCCUAGAUUGGCCCUUGUCACCAUAAAAAGAUCCUACUUUGUUGAUCUGACCUCUAACCCUAUAUAUUACUAUUACUAAAGUGUUCAAGUAUGACUUUUUAUAUAGUUGUCAUCUGUAGGUGACUUGAAUGUAGUAUUCGCAAGCAAGUAACUAACUGGUAUGGCAUUUGGUAAAUUUCUGAAUUUGCAAUAUUUUUUUUUCUUGAGCUUGGAAUGUUUCAAGCUAAUUAAUUAAAAUUUGUUGGGUGUUUUCCUGGAAGAAAUAUAUCAACAAAGAUGGGAUCUGAGGAGCUUGAAGAGAACAUGGAUGCUUCGCUGUAUAAGGCAGCAGCAGAAGGCAACAUUGAAGAAUUCAAUAAGCAGGGGCUUCAACUUGAGUCGCUAAAGACCCCAACCCAUGACAACGUGCUCCAUGUUAACUUGGCAACCCAGGAGAAUGCUGCCUGGCCUUUCAGCAUAUUUUUAUCAAUAAUCAAAUUCUACCCCUUAAUUAAAUUCUAUCCCUUAAUACAUGGAUGCUUCUCUUCAUCUUUGCUUAAUUUAAUUACUAGGAUAAGAGGAGAAAAAAGAUCAGAUUUUAUCGAACGAAUUCUCAGCGAGUGUCCGUCACUGCUACUCCAAACGAAUGCUAAAGGUCAAACUCCUCUGCACUAUGCAGCAAAGAAUGGACACUCUGCUAUUGUGAAACUUCUAAUCAAGUCUUGCGCAAAACCUAGAACUGGAGAUUUAGAGCAGGGAACGGAUCAAGGAAGUGCAGUGAGGGAGAUGCUUAGGAUUAGGGAUAAGGAAUCCAACACGGCUUUACAUGAAGCAGCACGGUGUGGCAAUGUUGAAGUGCUGAAAGCAUUGUUGGAGUUUAAAAACCCUGAUUUUCCGUAUUCUGCCAACGAAAAACAGGAGACUCCACUUUACAUAGCAGCUAGGAGGAGAGGAUCUGGGCGCUUGUUGACUCUAUUAUUACGUGAAUUCGGAUCAACGCCUCAUGGCGGCCCCCACGGUAGAACAGCUUUGCAUGCAGCGGCUAUGGCUGGAGAUGCAGGUAUGUUGUUUAGUUCCAAUUUUUUUAAAAAUUUUUUUGAAAUAAAUAAAUAACAGGUCUAUUGACAUCUUUUUUUUUUGCUUGGAUUUAGAGGCAAUAAGGGUAAUAUUAGAGAAGGAGAAUUUGACGAAGGAAAGAGAUGAAGAUGGACACACCGCUCUUCAUUAUGCUGCACACUUGGGUUCUAGAAUAUCAGUUGUGGAAGAACUGUUAAAAAGGGAUAUAUCAGCUGCCUAUAUAGGUGAUGGUAAGAGGGGGAUGACACCCUUCUUAUGGCAGCCAGGCAAGGUGAUGUUAGAACAGUUUUAAGGAUUAUCUCUUUAUGUCCAGAUUGUUGUGAAAAAGUGGACGACAAAGGUUUGAAUUUACUUCAUUAUUUGGCUUUUAGAGGCUCUUUCACUCUAUAUGGGCGUUCUCUUUUGAAGCUUGGUGGUAUUGAGAUUGCAUAUGGAUCACUCAGAAAUCUAAUGGAGUUGAAAGCUGACUUUGGGAUGACACCUCAAGAAGUUUAUAAUGCACUUAUAUCUGAGACACAGCAUCAUAAGCAGGUGUGUAUAUAUAUUGCAUUUCCAUGACUAUGGUUUAAUAUUAAUAUUUAAGUUUUGAGUUAACAUAUUUAUUAAACUUACAAUACGAUGGGCUAAUGUGGGUGGCAUGGCAGAAGCAAAUCAAAGAAUUGUUGGAAGAAAUUGAGAAUGAUCAAGUGGCGGAGGAACCAGUUCAUCACUUUCCAUUACGAAAUGUUUCUUCAGAAAGCUUGGAGAAGACAAUAAAUGCUCAUUUAGUAGUGGCAGCACUUAUAGCCACCGUCACAUUCGCAGCGGCAAUAACUGUUCCUGGUGGUUUAAAUAGUGACAAAGGGUCAGAGCAAGGCACUCCCCUUUUGUUUGAUAAGGCAGCCUUUAAAGCAUUUUUUGCAACAAAUACAAUAGCCUUUAUUCUCUCUGUUAUUGUCCUCGCCAACCACUUCGGGAUUUUGGAUACUAUAUUAUCAGGAUUUAGUUUUUGGCGUCGAUCGGUUUUUUAUCGAACGCAGUCUGUUGCUCAAACACUUGGCAUUGCAACAUUGAUGAUGG